AACGAACGCUGGCCGCAUGCCUAACACAUGCAAGUCGAACGAGACCUUCGGGUCUAGUUGCGCACGGGUGCGUAACGCGUGGGAACCUGCCCUUAGGUUCGGAAUAACUCCCCGAAAGGGGUGCUAAUACCGGAUAAUGUCUUCGGACCAAAGAUUUAUCGCCUUUGGAUGGGCCCGCGUUGGAUUAGCUAGUUGGUAGGGUAAAAGCCUACCAAGGCGACGAUCCAUAGCUGGUCUGAGAGGAUGAUCAGCCACACUGGGACUGAGACACGGCCCAGACUCCUACGGGAGGCAGCAGUGGGGAAUAUUGGACAAUGGGCGAAAGCCUGAUCCAGCAAUGCCGCGUGAGUGAUGAAGGCCUUAGGGUUGUAAAGCUCUUUUACCCGGGAUGAUAAUGACAGUACCGGGAGAAUAAGCACCGGCUAACUCCGUG
rnacentral:rRNA from 1 species